UACAGAGGUCUCAAGCGUUGUUCGGAUUCAUUGGGCGUAAAGGGUGCGUAGGUGGCGGGGUAAGUCAGGUGUGAAAUCCUGGAGCUCAACUCCAGAACUGCCUUUGAUACUGGCGAUCUCGAGUCCGGGAGAGGUGAGUGGAACUGCGAGUGUAGAGGUGAAAUUCGUAGAUAUUCGCAAGAACACCAGUGGCGAAGGCGGCUCACUGGCCCGGUACUGACGCUGAGGUGCGAAAGCGUGGGGAGCAAACAGG
rnacentral:rRNA from 1 species